ensembl:snoRNA
AGUCCUGUUUUAGUACCACUUCUCUGCCUUUUAUUACGGAUGUGUGGCUAUGCCAACAGGAAAGAGAAGCUGUCUGUCAGUGUCUGAAGGAGUCCAGCAGUGUUGGUCUGCUACUCCUAAAGAAAUGACAGCACAUUUUUAU